GACGAACGCUGGCGGCGUGCUUAACACAUGCAAGUCGAACGGAAAGGCCCUGCUUUUGUGGGGUGCUCGAGUGGCGAACGGGUGAGUAACACGUGAGUAACCUGCCCUUGACUUUGGGAUAACUUCAGGAAACUGGGGCUAAUACCGGAUAGGAGCUCCUGCUGCAUGGUGGGGGUUGGAAAGUUUCGGCGGUUGGGGAUGGACUCGCGGCUUAUCAGCUUGUUGGUGGGGUAGUGGCUUACCAAGGCUUUGACGGGUAGCCGGCCUGAGAGGGUGACCGGCCACAUAGGGACUGAGAUACGGCCCAGACUCCUACGGGAGGCAGCAGUGGGGAAUAUUGCACAAUGGGCGGAAGCCUGAUGCAGCAACGCCGCGUGCGGGAUGACGGCCUUCGGGUGGUAAACCGCUUUCGCCUGUGACGAAGCGUGAGUGACGGUAAUGGGGAAAGAAGCACCGGCUAACUACGU
rnacentral:rRNA from 1 species